rnacentral:rRNA from 1 species
UACACUCCUGCGGGAGGCAGCAGUGGGGAAUUUUGGACAAUGGGCGAAAGCCUGAUCCAGCAAUGCCGCGUGAGUGAAGAAGGCCUUCGGGUUGUAAAGCUCUUUUGUCAGGGAAGAAACGGUGAAAGCUAAUAUCUUUUGCUAAUGACGGUACCUGAAGAAUAAGCAACGGCUAACUACGUGCCAGCAGCCGCGGUAAUACGUAGGGUGCAAGCGUUAAUCGGAAUUACUGGGCGUAAAGCGUGCGCAGGCGGUUUUGUAAGUCUGAUGUGAAAUCCCCGGGCUCAACCUGGGAAUUGCAUUGGAGACUGCAAGGCUAGAAUCUGGCAGAGGGGGGUAGAAUUCCACGUGUAGCAGUGAAAUGCGUAGAUAUGUGGAGGAACACCGAUGGCGAAGGCAGCCCCCUGGGUCAAGAUUGACGCUCAUGCACGAAAGCGUGGGGAGCAAACAGGAUUAGAAACCCGGGUAGUCCCAUG